UCUUUUUAUGCAUUUUUUUUUUUCAACAAACGUCAUGUAGGAGACAGUGCUCAUGAUUUUUGCAGGCCUUGCAAGAUCAGUGAGCUUGAUGCUGUUGUAGCAGAAGCUUCUCUCUCAGUUAUAUAUUCUUAAAUGCGAAUGUAGUGGGGAACAUCUAGCCUCCGGCCCGCCUUGGACCCUGCUAUGUCCAUCACCCUGAUUGGCUCUUAUUUGCGCGGCAUUUAUCUCCAGUUCUGUUUCAUGCCAGGGUGCAUACUAACCAAUCGUGGCCUUCUAACAAGGUCACGUGAGAGAGUGUUUUUCUGCUGUUUCUGGAGCCCCUUCCUACCUAUAAAUAAGCCUGCUUUAUCCACGCCAGUUGGUCGCGAUUUCAGAUCUCUCACAGGUCUGGUUGUUGACCACCACACAACACCAACCAGACAGUUUCUAGCGACGACGUCAACACCACCGUUCUACUGUCUACUACAGUCUUGUCACCAGCGCCAGCAUUACACCCCUGGUUACACACUACCAACAGCAACCGCAGUUCCAUCUCAACACUGAUUGUUUCCACCACGAAAUAACAGCCAAAACAACCUGCGAGAAUCUCCUGUAUUCAAGUUACCAGCUCAGCAUAGAAGCCUCAUCUUCACCACACAUGACUUAGCUCUGCCUAGAAGCCACAACCUCUUAUUUGCUCUUGGAGGUAUUACACAUCCAGUUGAAAUUGCAGACUAUUUGUUCAGUUCUGAUGUCACAUCACCUGAUACUGCCAAAAUAUUCUCAAGUUCAAUUUACGAAAAAGUUGCCAUUGUUCAUGCUUCGUACAUUCAUGCCUGCAUUUUAGCUGAGGAUAUAAUGAAAAUACCUUUGGGUUGUUAUAUUUUGUAUCCUAAAGCCUUCCAAGAGAAAUGAUGAAGAAACAUGUAUAAAAUAUAGACAACAGCAGCCUAUGGCAUGUUCACAUUCGCAAGCAUCAUCUCAAUCCAGUGAGGAAACAAAUGAUAUUGUCAGUAUAAUGGAAUUAGAGAAGGUAUCAGGCCAUUUGGAAUUAUUUAUCCCAGGAAAAGGUGGAUAUCAAGUGCUGUAUAAAUCAUAAUUCAAAGUCAGCAUUAUUUUUGUUUAUUUGUUUCAUUUAUUCUUUUUUGUUUACUUUUGUUUUUUUAAAUCUCAUUUUUACGAACUGACGAUGACUUGUUUUGUAUUCUUCUGAAGAUGCUGCAUAAAUACUGAACAAUUUCAUUAUAAUUGCUUUGUUUAUAUUCUUUUUUUUAUUUAUUUAUUUACUGUUUAUUAUGUGACAAAAUUCAAUAUACCAGCUGAAGAUUUUCAUUUGAGAGAGAAUAAAUGAAAUCUUUUAAAAUCUA